UACGUAGGGGGCAAGCGUUGUCCGGAAUCAUUGGGCGUAAAGCGCGCGUAGGCGGCCCGGUAAGUCCGCUGUGAAAGUCAAAGGCUCAACCUUUGAAUGCCGGUGGAUACUGCCGGGCUAGAGUCCGGAAGAGGCGAGUGGAAUUCCUGGUGUAGCGGUGGAAUGCGCAGAUAUCAGGAGGAACACCAAUAGCGAAGGCAGCUCGCUGGGACGGUACUGACGCUGAGACGCGAAAGCGUGGGGAGCGAACAGG
rnacentral:rRNA from 1 species